CGCACGUAUCCGGGCCCCGCCCCCUGGCCGGCCUACUUACAGCAUUGGCCGGCCCGCUUGUCAUUCCCACCGUGGCUACCAUUCAUGCAGUUUGGUUGCGUCUUGGUGUAUUUGAGUGUUUGCAAUAAAAAGGGCUUUUAAUUUUUGGAGGUGCAGGUCCAGCUGCAAUUAGUUCACUGAAAAGUCUACCGCCUUGCAAGCAGCCAACCGCGGCUAGCUUUAGCUCUUUAUUUCUCCCUUGCAAUUGCAAGCCACUAAUUCAGAGGUGCAACUAUGCCCAAAAGAAAGCCCCAGCCACCUAUUGCAGAUUCCUCUGGGGUUCACUUGAUGGGAGCCAUCCUUGAGCCGACGCUGACAACAACCUGGUUGUUGCAGGCAGCCGUUGAAGGGCAGGUAAAGGAGGAGCCAAAGAGGCGGUCACCUCGAUUAUCUGCUAAAGUGAACGUAGCAAAUGAUAAAAAGGAAAUGAAAGGCAAGAAGGGGGCCGCCAAAGUCAAAGUGGAAACCAAGCAGGAAGAAGUGAAAGAAGAAAACCACUCUGAAAAUGGAGAGACCCAAACUAACGAGGUGCCGGCUGUGGAAGAACCUGAGGAGAAGCCUGAGUAAUAUGUAACACUGCCCUAUAUCUCCAUCAGUUUGCAUGAAGUUAAUUUUGGAACGUCUCCAUCCUGGUCGCUUGGGUAUGAUGUCACCAACAAGAUAUCACUGUCUCUGCAUUUUGUGAUUAUAAUAGUGUGAUCUAUGGCAAGAAUAAGUGGUGGUAGCUUCUGACUUUUGUCACUGUGUACCCUUUCUUGUGUAAGCUAUCCUUUCCGUCCUUUGGCUUUUUCUUUGGCCCUGGUACGUGUUUAAUUCAGUGAAGUGGGGAGGCCCCAAAUAGAAAGUUCUCAAAUCGGCUAGUCCGGGGUGUCUGUGGGUUGAUUUUAUAAAGAAGGUGAGCUAUUUUCAUGAAAUUCUAAGAGUUGGAAAUAUCUUUCCCAAAUAUAACUUUAAUAUUAGUUUUUGAAAGAAAGUAAAAUGUAAUCAUGUUUUUAAACAAAAUACAAAUGUUUAUUUCAGAAGGGCAGAUUGAUUGUAUGUGUAGCCACUAUUAGAAAUUUUGCUGGAUUUAUCUUAAUAAAAUAAAAAGACUCCUC
rnacentral:lncRNA from 1 species